AGUAACGCGUGGGUAACCGUGCCUCAUACAGGGGGAUAACAGUUGGAAACGACUGCUAAUACCGCAUAAGCGCACAGGAUCGCAUGAUCCGGUGUGAAAAACUACCGGUGGUAUGAGAUGGACCCGCGUCUGAUUAGCCAGUUGGCAGGGUAACGGCCUACCAAAGCGACGAUCAGUAGCCGACCUGAGAGGGUGACCGGCCACAUUGGGACUGAGACACGGCCCAA
rnacentral:rRNA from 1 species